rnacentral:rRNA from 1 species
UACAGAGGGUGCGAACGUUGCUCGGAAUUACUGGGCGUAAAGCGCGUGUAGGCGGAACGAUAAGUCGGAAGUGAAAUCCCCGGGCUCAACCCGGGAACUGCUUUCGAAACUGCCGUUCUCGAGUACCGGAGAGGGUGGCGGAAUUCCCAGUGUAGAGGUGAAAUUCGUAGAUAUUGGGAAGAACACCGAUGGCGAAGGCAGCCAUCUGGACCGACACUGACGCUGAGGCGCGAAAGCGUGGGGAGCAAACAGG